GCCAUAUCAGAGAGGAGAGCUACCAGUUGCUAUUGUGUAUGUGGUUUGGAUUCCACGCUCUUCAGCUUAAAUACCAAACGACUCGGACUCUAUUGCGCAAUUAGCGAGAGUCUUCUGCACUGGUGUUAGUGAGAUCGACAUAACAGCAAUGGCUGACAUUCAGGUGUUUGUGAGUCGUGCUACUGUGUUUCCUGAUGAAAUUUGUCCAGCUGUCAUCUCUGUCCGGGAGGGCAAAAUCCAUCACAUUAAGAGGCACACAACCAACGUUACAUCUUACUCACAGGACCAGGUUCUGGGCUGUCCGCUGGUCGAGGUCACAGAGAUAUAAACAACAACAACAACAACAACCAAGAACCACAACCCAACACAACAACACCCAAGGACUACAACCCAACAACAACCAAGGACAACAACAACACAACAACCACCAAAGAACACAACUUCCUGUCUAUGGGAAGCCCACAAGUAUCUGUUCUCAGUUCACUCCAAUUCUAACCAUUCAUCUAAAACUGUUGCUUCAUCUAAAACUGUUGGUUUUUUUUCUGCCAUGUUCCUACGAGCAUUCCGCGUCCCGAAUUCUUUUUAGAUCAAGAAGGUGGCAUUCCAUCAAGGUGGGGCCAAGAUAUUUUUGGGGGUAGCCAAAGAAAAUGACACAAAACUAAUGUACAUCCAUGUGAAUGAAGGAACAUCAGAAAUUUUAAAAAGGCUGUCACACUAGAUUAAACAUCAGCCUAGGUUUAUAUAAAGUUAAUUGGAGUUUAACAAAGGGUAUUUUUAAACAAGUAGGUUAUCAGGCAUUGCCACCGUUCAGCAGUUGUUAGCGCCGUUUUUCUUGCAACGAAGUUUUCUUAUGACUGUGUGUGUUUCCUUGGCACGUCAACCUGAACGAACCAUGAAGAGGUGUAGCAAUACACGAAGGCGCUUAGUUCAAGUAAUUUAUUUUGACCUCUC